ensembl:lncRNA
CAAACUCAACAGAUGCGGCUCUGUGCUCUUCCCACUGUGCAAAUGACACCUCUAGAAACGUUUUCAAAGUUUCUGUACCUCCAGCUCUGAGAUUUCAGAGCGAUGCUCAUGGAAGCGAAUACUCAUGAGAGCAGAUGCUGUAAAAUUUAUCACUGGAAAUGCACAGAGCCAUCGUGGCCCUCGGAUUGAGCUAAGCCCAUAGAAAAGCUGCAAGUCUGGAGAAAUGAUUGCAGGGUGAUGCCUGGAAGCAUUCCCUUCCCAAAGGUUUUAGGAAGGGGGAAGCUGGAAAGCAGCUCCUCGGCUAGGAAGCUGUUAGUGGAGGUGCUGAGAUCUGAAGGGGAUGGAAAAUGUCCUUCUACAGGAAGAUGAAGAGGGACAGUUGAAACACAUGGAACUCACUUGCUUGGAUAAGAACUAUCUCCAGAUUAAGGAAUGGGGAAAAAACGUGGACGAGUGGACGAUCCCCCUCUGCAGCCUUCUAAACGCUCCUGGCCCAAUCCAAAGCCACCGAACCCAUCGGUGUUACCACAGUGACAUCAAGAGGCCGCUGUUGAGGACACAGCUGCUGUGCAGAGCAUGGAGCAGGAGGGGACCAGGGGCUGCUAGGGAUGGAGGUGCAGCAGCAUGGAGCCGUCCCAGCACCCAGCUGCCCAGCAUAUGCUGCAUCUGAGGCUUUCAAGGCUAAAAAAAGAACCUGAAGUGCUAUAUCCGGAGAGAAAAAAAAAAAAUCACCCAGAAGUUUCUUUUUCCUGGGUACUCUAGAUGGAUACUCCUGUCCUGCAGCUGGGGACGCAUGAGGGAGCAGCAGCCUGCGAUGCUCGCUGUGCCUUGGGCUGAGCAGGAACAUGGAGCAUCCAGGUGAGGCA